UACGGAGGGAGCUAGCGUUAUUCGGAAUUACUGGGCGUAAAGCGCACGUAGGCGGAUCGUUAAGUCAGGGGUGAAAUCCUGGAGCUCAACUCCAGAACUGCCUUUGAUACUGGCGAUCUUGAGUCCGGAAGAGGUGAGUGGAACUCCUAGUGUAGAGGUGGAAUUCGUAGAUAUUAGGAAGAACACCAGUGGCGAAGGCGGCUCACUGGUCCGGUACUGACGCUGAGGUGCGAAAGCGUGGGGAGCAAACAGG
rnacentral:rRNA from 1 species